CCUACGGGAGGCAGCAGUGAGGAAUAUUGGUCAAUGGGCGAGAGCCUGAACCAGCCAAGUAGCGUGAAGGAUGACUGCCCUACGGGUUGUAAACUUCUUUUAUAAAGGAAUAAAGUGCGGCACGUGUGCCUUUUUGUAUGUACCUUAUGAAUAAGGAUCGGCUAACUCCGUGCCAGCAGCCGCGGUAAUACGGAGGUUCCGAGCGUUAUCCGGAUUUAUUGGGUUUAAAGGGAGCGUAGGUGGGUUGUUAAGUCAGUUGUGAAAGUUUGCGGCUCAACCGUACAAUUGCAGUUGAUACUGGCAGUCUUGAGUACAGUAGAGGUGGGCGGAAUUCGUGGUGUAGCGGUGAAAUGCUUAGCUAUCACGAAGAACUCCGAUUGCGAAGGCAGCUCACUAAACUGCCACUGACAUUGAUGCUCGAAAGUGUGGGUAUCAAACAGGAUUAGAUACCCGAGUAGUC
rnacentral:rRNA from 1 species